AAUAAUUUUAAAAAUAUAAUAUAAUUUAUAAAUUAAUAAAACAUUUAUUUAUUAGUAAAGGUGAUUAAAAAUAGUAUUUUAAGUAAAGUACUGUAAAGGAAUAUAUAAAGUUUUUAUUAAGUAGUAUAUUUUACGUACCUUUCGCAUCAUGGCUUUACAAGAAAAUAUAGAGUAAUAUCUAUAACUAGAAAUCUAAUGAGCUACUUUAAUUUAAAAUAAUAGUUUAACAUUAUGAGUGUAGCAAAACUCUGUUAAAAAAUUAAAGUUGUAGUAAAAUUCUAUUCGCAUUAGAUGAUAGCUAGUUCUUCUAAAAAUACAUAUAAGUGUAGUCUUAUAUUUAAAAUUUUUUUAUGCUUUAAAAAGAUUUUGAUACAUGAUCUGUAUAUUUAAGGAUAAGCUUAAAUAUUGUUUUAGAAAUAAAUUAAAAAAUUACUUCUAAGCUCGAAAUCAGCUAUGAUUAAUGAAAUCGUUAUAGAUUAUUAAUUUAUAUAUAAUAGAUAUAAUGAAUAUAUUUAUUGCUUAUAGAAGCGAAUAACUAAAUUUUUUAGUUAUUGUGUUUAUGUUAAGAUGAGUAUUUAUCUAAAUUUUAAAUAUUUUAUAAUCUAAAUUUUAAAAUAUAAAUUUUAUUUAUAUAUUUUAAAUCAAUAAAAGGAACUCGGCAAAUAAUAAUUUCGCCUGUUUAGCAAAAACAUGGCUCUUUGUUUAUUAAUUAUAAAGAGUCUAGCCUGCCCAGUGAUUUUUUUAACGGCCGCGGUACUUUGACCGUGCAAAGGUAGCAUAAUCAUUUGCCUUAUAAUUGAAGGCUAGUAUGAAAGGUUUAACGAAAGUUAGGCUGUCUUUUUUUGUAUAAAAUGAAAUUAACUUAUAAGUGCAAAGGCUUAUAUAUGACUAAAAGACAAGAAGACCCUAUUGAGCUUAUAAAAAUAUUAUGGAGUAAGGUAUAUAUGAAAAUUCUAAUCUUUUUAAAUUUUUAGUUGGGGCGACUUAGGAAUCAAAAAAACUUCCUAGUAUUAAAAUUACUUUUAUGUUUUAUCCAAAAUUUUUUGAUUAUCAGAAUUAGUUACCAUAGGGAUAACAGCAUAAUCUUUCUUAGGAGUUCUAAUCGAAAGAAAGGAUUGUGACCUCGAUGUUGGACUAGAAUACCCUAAAGGUGCAGAAGCUUUUGAGGGUUGGUCUGUUCGACCAUUAAUAAUUCUACAUGAUCUGAGUUCAGACCGGCGUAAGCCAGGUCAGUUUCUAUCUUUAGUUGCUUUAAUAGCUUUAGUACGAAAGGAUCAAGCUAGAGGAGUAAUAAACUCCUGUUUAUGACAUCUAUAAUAAAAUUUUGAAGUAUAUA
rnacentral:rRNA from 1 species